GAUGAAGAAACGCAGCGAAAUGCGAUAAGUAAUGUGAAUUGCAGAAUUCAGUGAAUCAUCGAAUCUUUGAACGCACAUUGCGCCCGCCAGUAUUCUGGCGGGCAUGCCUGUUCGAGCGUCAUUACAACCCUCAGGCCCCCGGGCCUGGCGUUGGGGAUCGGCGGAGCCCCCCGUGGGCACACGCCGUCCCCCAAAUACAGUGGCGGUCCCGCCGCAGCUUCCAUCGCGUAGUAGCUAACACCUCGCGACUGGAGAGCGGCGCGGCCACGCCGUAAAACACCCAACUCUUCUGAAGUUGACCUCGAAUCAGGUAGGAAUACCCGCUGAACUUAAGCAUAUCAAUAAGCGGAGGA
rnacentral:misc_RNA from 1 species